UCGGAGAAAGACAUGUGCACCCAAAUCUGAAAUUGACAUGUACUUUGAAGAAGACUGUGUUGAGGAUAUUGAAAAUUUUGACAUUUUGGCUUGGUGGAAGCCACAUGCUGAGAAAUCCCCAGUCUUGUCAACCAUGGCACAUGAUUUUCUUGCAAUACCUCUUAGUACUGUGCCCUCCGAAUCAGUCUUUAGCCUUGGGAGCAGGAUUCUUGGGGAGUCCAGAAGCUCACUAACUCCUGAAAUGUUAGAAGCUCUAGUAUGUGGAAAAGAUUGGUUAUUCAAGGAAAAAGAAGCAGACGAUGAAGGUAGAGAGAAAGGUAGACAGCCUUUAGACGAUCUUUGUGAAGAUCAGCCAACUUCUACCUUGGUCGUUCCAUCAGAUACAAGUAUAUCAUUUGGAGGUCAAGAUGUUGCACUCUUGUGAAGUUCAGUGCUCAUUUUGUUCAGCUUGACAUCAGCAAUGGAUGAAGUUCUCUUGUUCUAAUUGUUGGAUGCUUCAUCAUCGUACAAGCUCUGAUUGUAUAAUAAUCCUUGCUGUCGCCAGUUUCAGAUUCUCGUCAACUCAUGACCUAGUGGCCCUCUAUUUUAACGUAGCUAAUGGAACAUUUAAGCAUCUGUAUGGAUGGUGUUUGAUUGUAUAAUAAUCACUGCAGCUGCAAGUUACGUCAGUUAAUGGCAGAAGUUAAUGGCAGGGCGAGCUAUCAUUGC